rnacentral:rRNA from 1 species
AUUGAACGCUGGCGGCAUGCUUUACACAUGCAAGUCGAACGGUAACAGGCCGCAAGGUGCUGACGAGUGGCGAACGGGUGAGUAAUGCAUCGGAACGUGCCCAGUCGUGGGGGAUAACGCAGCGAAAGCUGCGCUAAUACCGCAUACGAUCUAUGGAUGAAAGCGGGGGACCGUAAGGCCUCGCGCGAUUGGAGCGGCCGAUGUCAGAUUAGGGAGUUGGUGAGGUAAAGGCUCACCAAGCCAACGAUCUGUAGCUGGUCUGAGAGGACGACCAGCCACACUGGGACUGAGACACGGCCCAGACUCCUACGGGAGGCAGCAGUGGGGAAUUUUGGACAAUGGGCGCAAGCCUGAUCCAGCAAUGCCGCGUGCAGGAAGAAGGCCUUCGGGUUGUAAACUGCUUUUGUACGGAACGAAACGGCUCUCACUAAUACUGGGGGCUAAUGACGGUACCGUAAGAAUAAGCACCGGCUAACUACGUGCCAGCCGCCGCAGUAACAC